rnacentral:rRNA from 1 species
AACGAACGCUGGCGGCAGGCCUAACACAUGCAAGUCGAACGAGUAAGAGCCGUAGCAAUACGGAGUUCUGCUAGUGGCGCACGGGUGAGUAACGCGUGGGAACGUGCCUUGGAGUUCGGGAUAACAGUUGGAAACGACUGCUAAUACCGAAUAUUCCCUCAGGGGGGAAAGAUUUAUCGCUCCAAGAUCGGACCCGCGUAAGAUUAGGAGUUGGUGGGGUAAUGGCCUACCAAGCCUACGAUCUUUAGCUGGUCUGAGAGGACGACCAGCCACACUGGAACUGAGACACGGUCCAGACUCCUACGGGAGGCAGCAGUGGGGAAUAUUGGACAAUGGGCGAAAGCCUGAUCCAGCAUGCCG